rnacentral:rRNA from 1 species
GGUGAACGCUGGCGGCAGGCCUAACACAUGCAAGUCGAACGGCAGCACAGGAGAGCUUGCUCUCUGGGUGGCGAGUGGCGGACGGGUGAGGAAUACAUCGGAAUCUACCUUUUCGUGGGGGAUAACGUAGGGAAACUUACGCUAAUACCGCAUACGACCUACGGGUGAAAGUGGGGGACCGCAAGGCCUCACGCGAUUAGAUGAGCCGAUGUCCGAUUAGCUAGUUGGCGGGGUAAUGGCCCACCAAGGCGACGAUCGGUAGCUGGUCUGAGAGGAUGAUCAGCCACGCUGGAACUGAGACACGGUCCAGACUCCUACGGGAGGCAGCAGUGGGGAAUAUUGGACAAUGGGCGCAAGCCUGAUCCAGCCAUGCCGCGUGGGUGAAGAAGGCCUUCGGGUUGUAAAGCCCUUUUGUUGGGAAAGAAAUCCUGUCGAUUAAUACUCGGUGGGGAUGACGGUACCCAAAGAAUAAGCACCGGCUAACUUCGUGCCAGCCGCCGCCGUAACAC